AAUACGUUCCCGGGUCUUGUACACACCGCCCGUCACACCAUGGAAGUUGGUUCUGCCUUAAGUCGGCCGUGAAACGCCGCCCACGGCAGGGUCAAUGACUGGGGUGAAGUCGUAACAAGGUACCC
rnacentral:rRNA from 1 species